rnacentral:rRNA from 1 species
UGCAAGUCGAACGCGUUGGCCCAACUGAUUGAACGUGCUUGCACGGACUUGACGUUGGUUUACCAGCGAGUGGCGGACGGGUGAGUAACACGUAGGUAACCUGCCCCAAAGCGGGGGAUAACAUUUGGAAACAGAUGCUAAUACCGCAUAACAAUUUGAAUCGCAUGAUUCAAAUUUAAAAGAUGGCUUCGGCUAUCACUUUGGGAUGGACCUGCGGCGCAUUAGCUUGUUGGUAGGGUAACGGCCUACCAAGGCUGUGAUGCGUAGCCGAGUUGAGAGACUGAUCGGCCACAAUGGAACUGAGACACGGUCCAUACUCCUACGGGAGGCAGCAGUAGGGAAUCUUCCACAAUGGGCGCAAGCCUGAUGGAGCAACACCGCGUGAGUGAAGAAGGGUUUCGGCUCGUAAAGCUCUGUUGUUAGAGAAGAACGUGCGUGAGAGYAACUGUUCACGCAGUGACGGUAUCUAACCAGAAAGUCACGGCUAACUACGUGCCAGCAGCCGCGGUAAUACGUAGGUGGCAAGCGUUAUCCGGAUUUAUUGGGCGUAAAGCGAGCGCAGGCGGUUUGAUAAGUCUGAUGUGAAAGCCUUUGGCUUAACCAAAGAAGUGCAUCGGAAACUGUCAGACUUGAGUGCAGAAGAGGACAGUGGAACUCCAUGUGUAGCGGUGGAAUGCGUAGAUAUAUGGAAGAACACCAGUGGCGAAGGCGGCUGUCUGGUCUGCAACUGACGCUGAGGCUCGAAAGCAUGGGUAGCGAACAGGAUUAGAUACCCUGGUAGUCCAUGCCGUAAACGAUGAGUGCUAGGUGUUGGGAGGGGUUUCCGCCCUUCAGUGCCGCAGCUAACGCAUUAAGCACUCCGCCUGGGGAGUACGACCGCAAGGUUGAAACUCAAAGGAAUUGACGGGGCCCGCACAAGCGGUGGAGCAUGUGGUUUAAUUCGAAGCUACGCGAAGA